rnacentral:rRNA from 1 species
UUCGUGAUCCGCGAGUCACUGCUAUGGAGUCGACUAAGCAUGCGGGUCGAGAGGGUUUAGACCUCGGCGUACGGCUCAACAACACGUGGGUAAUCUACCCUCAGGACAGGGAUAACCCCGGGAAACUGGGGAUAAUACCUGAUAGGUGAAGGGCUCUGGAAGGACCCUACGCUGAAAGCUCCGGCGCCUGAGGAUGAGCCUGCGCCCGAUUAGGUUGUUGGCGGUGUAACGGACCACCAAGCCAGAGAUCGGUACGGGCACUGAGAGGUGGAGCCCGGAGAUGGGGGCUGAGACACGGCCCCAGGCCCUACGGGGCGCAGCAGGCGCGAAAACUCCGCAAUGCGCGCAAGCGUGACGGGGGAACUCCAAGUGCCUCAUCUUUUUGGUGAGGCUUUUUCAGAGUGUAAACAGCUCUGAGAAUAAAAGCGGGGUAAGACCGGUGCCAGCCGCCGCGGUAACACCGGCCGCUUGGAUGGUGACCGCUAUUAUUGGGCCUAAAGCGUUCGUAGCCGGUCCGGUAAGUCCUUGGGGAAAUCCUGCCGUUUAACGGUUGGAAGUCUGGGGAUACUGUCGGACUUGGGGCCGAGAGAAGUCGGAGGUACUCCGGGGGUAGCGGUGAAAUGCUGUAAUCCCCGGGGGACCACCAGUGGCGAAGGCGUCCGACUAGAGCGGGCCCGACGGUGAGGGACGAAAGCCAAGGGAGCGAACGGGAUUAGAUACCCCGGUAGUCUUGGCCGUAAACGCUGCGCGCUAGGUGUUGCAUGCCCUACGGGGGUGUGCAGUGCCGAAGAGAAGUUGUUAAGCGUGCCGCCUGGGAAGUACCAGCGCAAGCUGGAAACUUAAAGGAAUUGGCGGGGGAGCACUACAAGGGGUGAAGUCUGCGGUUCAAUUGGAUUCAACGCCGGAA